UACAGAGGUCCCGAGCGUUGUUCGGAUUCACUGGGCGUAAAGGGUGCGUAGGUGGCCGUGGAAGUUCGGUGUGAAAGCUCGGAGCUCAACUCCGAAAUGGCAUUGAAUACUCUACGGCUUGAGGUUCGGAGGGGAGACUGGAAUUCUCGGUGUAGCAGUGAAAUGCGUAGAUAUCGAGAGGAACACCAGUGGCGAAGGCGAGUCUCUGGACGGAUCCUGACACUGAGGCACGAAAGCUAGGGGAGCAAACAGG
rnacentral:rRNA from 1 species